rnacentral:rRNA from 1 species
GGGGAAUAUUGCACAAUGGACGGAAGUCUGAUGCAGCAACGCCGCGUGGAGGAUGACACAUUUCGGUGCGUAAACUCCUUUUAUAGGUCAAGAUAAUGACGGUAGCCUAUGAAUAAGCGCCGGCUAACUCCGUGCCAGCAGCCGCGGUAAUACGGAGGGCGCAAGCGUUACUCGGAAUCACUGGGCGUAAAGAGCGUGUAGGCGGACUAAUAAGUCAGAAGUGAAAUCCAAUAGCUUAACUAUUGAACUGCUUUUGAAACUGUUUGUCUAGAGUGUGGGAGAGGUAGAUGGAAUUUCUGGUGUAGGGGUAAAGUCCGUAGAUAUCAGAAGGAAUACCGAUUGCGAAGGCGAUCUACUGGAACAUAACUGACGCUGAGACGCGAAAGCGUGGGGAGCAAAC